GACGAACGCUGGCGGCGUGCUUAACACAUGCAAGUGGUGCGACGAACCAGGCUUCGGCCUGGGGCAGAGCCGCGAACGGGUGAGUAACACGUGGGCAACCUGCCCUGUUGAUCGGGACAACCCGGGGAAACCCGGGCUAAUACCGAAUGUGGUGCCGGCUCAUGAGAGCCGUCACGAAAGGAAGCUUCGGCCUCCGCGACAGGAUGGGCCCGCGGCCUAUCAGCUUGUUGGUGGGGUGAUGGCCUACCAAGGCGACGACGGGUAGCCGGCCUGAGAGGGUGACCGGCCACACUGGGACUGAGAUACGGCCCAGACUCCUACGGGAGGCAGCAGUGGGGAAUAUUGCACAAUGGGCGCAAGCCUGAUGCAGCGACGCCGCGUGAGGGAUGACGGCCUUCGGGUUGUAAACCUCUUUCAGCACAGACGAAGCGCAAGUGACGGUAUGUGCAGAAGAAGGACCGGCCAACUACGUGCCAGCCGCCGCAGUAA
rnacentral:rRNA from 1 species